AUGAAGUGGCGCCAAGCUUCUGGCAUUCUCUGUGACAAGAGAGUGCCACAAAAGCUAAAAGGCAAGUUCUACAGGACGGCGGUUCGACCCGCAAUGUUGUAUGGCGCUGAGUGUUGGCCGACUAAAAGGCGACAUGUUCAACAGUUAGGUGUGGCGGAGAUGCGUAUGUUGAGAUGGAUGUGUGGCCACACGAGGAAGGAUCGAGUCCAGAAUGAUGAUAUACGAGAUAGAGUUGGGGUAGCACCAAUUGAAGAGAAGCUUGUCCAACAUCGUCUGAGAUGGUUUGGGCAUAUUCAGCGCAGGCCUCCAGAAGCUCCGGUGCAUAGUGGACGGCUAAAGCGUGCGGAGAAUGUCAAGAGAGGGCGGGGUAGACCGAAUUUG
rnacentral:rRNA from 1 species